rnacentral:pre_miRNA from 1 species
UUAAUACUCCCUCCGUCCGAAAAAACUUGUCCCUCAAAUGGAUGUAUCUAGCAUCAAGUUAGUGCUAGAUACACCCAUUUGAGGGACAAAUUUUUUCGGACAGAGGGAGUAUUAC